AUUGAACGCUGGCGGCAGGCCUAACACAUGCAAGUCGAACGGUAACAGGGAUCAGCUUGCUGAUUCGCUGACGAGUGGCGGACGGGUGAGUAAUGUCUGGGAAACUGCCUGAUGGAGGGGGAUAACUACUGGAAACGGUAGCUAAUACCGCAUAACGUCGCAAGACCAAAGAGGGGGACCUUCGGGCCUCUUGCCAUCGGAUAUGCCCAGAUGGGAUUAGCUAGUAGGUGGGGUAACGGCUCACCUAGGCGACGAUCCCUAGCUGGUCUGAGAGGAUGACCAGCCACACUGGAACUGAGACACGGUCCAGACUCCUACGGGAGGCAGCAGUGGGGAAUAUUGCACAAUGGGCGCAAGCCUGAUGCAGCCAUGCCGCGUGUAUGAAGAAGGCCUUCGGGUUGUAAAGUACUUUCAGCGGGGAGGAAGGGAGUAAAGUUAAUACCUUUGCUCAUUGACGUUACCCGCAGAAGAAGCACCGGCUAACUCCGUG
rnacentral:rRNA from 1 species